UACGUAGGGGGCGAGCAUUGUCCGGAUUUAUUGGGCGUAAAGAGCUCGUAGGCGGUUUGGCAAGUCGGGUGUGAAAACUCCGGGCUCAACUCGGAGACGCCACUCGAUACUGCUAUGACUCGAGUCCGGUAGGGGAGUGCGGAAUUCCUGGUGUAGCGGUGAAAUGCGUUGAUCUACAGAGGAACACCAAAAAAGGCGAAGGCAGUCAACUAUUCUGUUCCUGACAUUGAGGCAUGAAAGCGUGGGGAGCAAACCGG
rnacentral:rRNA from 1 species